rnacentral:rRNA from 1 species
CCUACGGGAGGCAGCAGUGGGGAAUAUUGGUCAAUGGGCGCAAGCCUGACCCAGCAACGCCGCGUGAAGGAAGAAGGCUUUCGGGUUGUAAACUUCUUUUCUCCGGGACGAAGCAAGUGACGGUACCUGAGGAAUAAGCCACGGCUAACUACGUGCCAGCAGCCGCGGUAAUCGGUAGGCGGCAAGCGUGAUCCGGAUGUACUGGGUGUAAAGGUCGUGUAGGUGGGGAGGCAAGUCAGCUGUGAAGACGCCGGGCGCAACGUGUGCCCUGCAUUUGAGACUGUGUUGCUUGAGUACGGGGGAGGCAGGCGGAAUGCGUGGUGUAGCGGUGAAAUGCGUAGAUAUUAGGAAGAACACCAGUGGCGAAGGCGGUCUGCUGGACCGCGACUGACGCUGAGGCGCGAAAGCGUGGGGAGCAAACAGGAUUAGAUACCCUGGUAGUC